rnacentral:rRNA from 1 species
AGUGAACGCUGGCGGCAGGCCUAACACAUGCAAGUCGAGCGGCAGCGGGUCCUUCGGGAUGCCGGCGAGCGGCGGACGGGUGAGGAAUGCAUCGGAAUCUGCCCUGUCGUGGGGGAUAACCUAGGGAAACUUAGGCUAAUACCGCAUACGACCCACGGGUGAAAGCGGGGGAUCGCAAGACCUCGCGCGAUAGGAUGAGCCGAUGUCCGAUUAGCUAGUUGGCGGGGUAAAGGCCCACCAAGGCGACGAUCGGUAGCUGGUCUGAGAGGAUGAUCAGCCACACUGGGACUGAGACACGGCCCAGACUCCUACGGGAGGCAGCAGUGGGGAAUCUUGGACAAUGGGCGCAAGCCUGAUCCAGCCAUGCCGCGUGGGUGAAGAAGGCCUUCGGGUUGUAAAGCCCUUUUGUCCGGGAAGAAAUCGUCUGGGCUAAUACCCCGGGAGGAUGACGGUACCGGAAGAAUAAGCACCGGCUAACUUCGUG